UACGUAGGGUGCGAGCGUUGUCCGGAAUUAUUGGGCGUAAAGAGCUUGUAGCGGUUUGUCGCGUCUGCCGUGAAAGUCCGGGGCUCAACUCCGGAUCUGCGGUGGGUACGGGCAGACUAGAGUGAUGUAGGGGAGACUGGAAUUCCUGGUGUAGCGGUGAAAUGCGCAGAUAUCAGGAGGAACACCGAUGGCGAAGGCAGGUCUCUGGGCAUUAACUGACGCUGAGGAGCGAAAGCAUGGGGGAGCGAACAGG
rnacentral:rRNA from 1 species